CGAGUUAAAGCUUAAGAGUUAAGCAAUUUAUUUACAUUAAAUAGAAGUCGUGCAAAUCGAUAUAAUUUGA
rnacentral:tRNA from 1 species